rnacentral:rRNA from 1 species
UACGUAGGGUGCGAGCGUUGUCCGGAUUUAUUGGGCGUAAAGAGCUCGUAGGCGGCUUGUCGCGUCGGAUGUGAAAGCCCGGGGCUUAACUCCGGGUCUGCAUUCGAUACGGGCAGGCUAGAGUGUGGUAGGGGAGAUCGGAAUUCCUGGUGUAGCGGUGAAAUGCGCAGAUAUCAGGAGGAACACCGGUGGCGAAGGCGGAUCUCUGGGACGGUACUGACGCUGAGACGCGAAAGCGUGGGGAGCGAACAGG